AAUAAAUCAGGAAUUAUCCCUUGCUAAGGAAAAAAUAAAAUUGGCAGGAACCAUCAAGUUACUUUUUCCCAAGUUAUUAUAAUACUGUAGAGACCAAACAUCCAGCAUGUUAGGGAUGUGGAGUAUUGAAGAGAAAAUAACAGAAAGGAUGAGGCUUGUUGGAGAGAAUUGUGGGGUGAAAACAUUUGAUGCGACAGCUGGCAAAAGAGGACAGAAAUUAG
rnacentral:misc_RNA from 1 species